GUGCUUGUCGGCAGCACAUAUACUAAAAUUGGAACGAUACAGAGGAGAUUAGCAUGCCCCUGCGUAAGGAUGACACGCGAAUUCGUGGAGUGUUCCAUAUUUUU
rnacentral:snRNA from 1 species